AGAGAAGAUAAAUUACAAAAAAAAAAAAGUAAAACCAAAAACAAAAUACUAACAAAAAAAAAAUUGUCCUGUAAUAACUCCGAGGGAGCACCAACCCACCUCAACCAACCUCCACAAACCUGACGAGCUCAGCAACUUCUCCGACUGGCCACCCAUCCUGAUGUUUCCUACUUUAUCCACCAUAUAAACAACUUUUACCAGUAAAUAUCGGUUUAUUCCUGAAAUCAGAAGCCCUAAACAUACCUUUGUUUAUAAGCCUGUGUGGUUCUGAUUGCUGGCAGUUCUGUAGUACAGCAGCUUUAAUCUGAGCAAUUGAGACUGGUCCUACGUUAUCUUCAGACGGCUUGAGGAGGACUUCUGUUCCCAGUUUGGUACUCAAAUACUCCAUCCCACCUUGAGAAGUCACUUACUUUAAAAGCCAGUGAUAGAUUAUUCUCUUUAGCACUAAUGGAAAAUUAUAUUGCAAAGCAGCUUUAUUAUGAACCUUUCGUAUAUUCAUAAUUCCCGUGCAAUCCCAAAUUGGAGAAAAGAGCCUAUUAAAAGUAUAUAUUACUCUAGAUUUUUCUUACUGUAAAUAUUGUAAUUUUAUAAUCCUGUGAAUAUUUUAUUAAUUUACAAAUAUUUAACAAAGUUUAAUCUGUGUGAGUUCAGAUUUAUUUAAUGGUGUUCCACUUCUGUGGUUCCUGUUGCAGUCAGUAUUGCAUUAUAUUUUAUGUAAGAUAACUUUUUUUUAUUGACGUUAAACAUUGAUUUAAAUGCCUCUUUCUGGGAGAACAAAGUAUAGAGGUGAUUCUCUUCCUUAAAAUGUAACACUUAUGUUCUUCAGUCCCAGUGCUAAAGUAAUUUAAUGAAAUAUUACAGUUACAAAUUUUCAAAGCUAAUGCAGCUAAACAACUGCACUUGGAACUUGUCAUUUUAAAACUUGAGUAUACUUGAAUGUAGAUGGCUUUUAUCAGCCAGUUUUCAGUGAACAAGAAUCUCUGCAAUAUCUAAUGUAUUGAAAAGCUAAAUUCUUUAUAAUGAGUAAAGGAACGCUGUACAAUCAGUGUUAAGUUUUUGUAAAAACAAGCAUUUGCAAAGGCCAUGUUCAAUAAAAAUUUUUUUUUUUUUUUUAAAUUCUAGUGAAAACAUUUUUUUUUUUUUUUUUUUUUUGGCUGUAUGCAUUCCCCCUAGUGUUUGCAUCCCAAAGAUUGCAACUUUGUGGUAAUGUGUGUAAGCCCGAAAGCAACUAGAAAUUGACUAGUUGCAGAACAUGAAAUCUUUUUCAUUGUCCAAAUUAAAGGCUCAAGCCUGUGCCCUUUAAAGUCAGUGGCAAAGCUUUCACAGAAACAGGAUCAGGUCCUGAGUGAUCGCUUUCCUCAUCUCCCUCAGCACUGAUGGGGAAAAUAAAUUAGAUUUUCUAAAAUUCUUUGUUUUAUUAACCUAAGGUUCUCUAAAGACAUUUUCUUUUUUAAAAUUAAUUUUUAACCUGAUUUUAACCCUUUAACAAUUCAAUUUUAAGAUGUUCAUGUUCUCUGCAGAAUUAUCAAAAGCGAAGUAUUUUUUCCUUUUAGAGGCCAGGGAGGAUUGAUCUCUAAUGUAUUCGCAAGAUGACUCUCCUUCAAGGAUCCAAAAUAUCUCAGAGGUUUUUGUGGCAGGUGAUACUUUUGGGUUUACAAGUUAAUCUUUAUUAGAGAUGUGCCAAUAUAUGCUGCUUAUUGUAGUGUUGUUAUAUUUAGGCAUUUUAGCUAACUUACAAAUAUAUACUGUAACAGUAUACUUUGUACAGACUUAAGUUAAAAUUUAUUUAAAGAUUGAAAUAAAGUAGGCAAAAAAUAAAGAUGUUUAUUUUUCAUUAGACUAAGCAGCUAUCAUUCUUUUGUUUUUAGUGUACUUGGACACCAAACAAUCUCAGAACGAUAAAAUAUUUUAGUUGAUAGGCCACAUUGCAGAAACUCUGUGGAUAUGUGUAUGUGUAUCUGUAUUGUAUCUUGAUAACUGUUAACUCUAGAAUGCAAAUAAUGAAAUCAUACUCAUUUUACCAUUCAAAAGAGAAGUGUUUCACAGUUUGACUGUUUUAUCUGUUUUAUGACAAAAAGGCAUUUAUUUUUUGAAAGUUGUUUAUGAAGGGCCUGCCAUCUGGCUUCUCAAGUCAAUUUUUAAAAUUCCAGAGUGGGGGUGAUUACUUGUUUAGCCUUCACUGACAGACCAAAGUCAGCUUUGACAUCAUAUUGGGGUGCUGCUCAAAUUUAUGUUUUAUGUCCUUUAAGUCAAAAAACAAAACAAGAAAAAUCAAGAUGUUAACUUCACUAUAAAACAAAUUCCUCACUGUACAGUAGAAUGGAUAUCUCUAAUCAAUCUGUUGUCAUUAAUAAUAGAUUCUUAUUUUUUUGAAUUACUUAUCUAUUUAAAAGAACAGCAAACAUUGUAUUUGCUAGUAAAUAUAAAGUGUUUACAUGUAAUUACUUAAUAAAUUAUUUGAUUUAAGAUG